CCCGCGCCCGGGCUGCCGCAGGGCGGGGCGGCUCCGCAGCCUGUCCCCUCCCUGCCCCUGUCCCCAUCCCUGUCCCCGUCCCUGUCAGCGCCCGGGGUGCCCGAAGGGGCAAAGGGAAAGGAGGAGAAAAGGGGCCGGAUUGGCACGGUGGGCACAGGGAGCGUCCCACCCAGGCUGAGGGGUGCCAAAACACCCUGCUGUGCCCGGCUGCGGUGGGGACCAGCCCGGCUCAGCCCGGCCCGGCUCUGCUGUAACAUUUAACUUGCCGUAGUCUGUGAUCCUGAAAAGCUGAAAUUAAUGACAGCCUUGCAGUUGCUCAUUAAUAAUUGCUUCAUUACUGUACGCAGUUGCAGCCUCCUGACAAUAAUGGGGUUUGCUGGUGUAUUUCUAAUUAUCUGGCAUUUCAGCUCCCUAAUAUAGUCCCGGUGCUCCCUGACGAGACCUCGCUCUCCAGCAGGAGCGCAGCCCAGCCCGCUCAGCCCGCCUGCUCCUUCAUCGGCAGCUCCUGGGAAGAGGCAGAGCCGCCCUGGUGGGGCCCACGCAGGACCCGGGGGCACCGAGACCCUCCACACCUGGGCUGAACUCUUCUCAUCCCCGUGGCACACCUGGUGCUCGUGCUGAGGUCGGUUUGGGAGCAGUGACAUCGUGAGAGUACCUGGGAGCUCCAGUGCACUAAGCAGAUAUCAUGGAAGACUGUACCGGGAGGCCUGGCCUCAGUGGUGCAGGGCCAAGCUUCUGAAACCCAGAACAUAAACACAACAGGUGAGACCCAGGCCCUCCCUCUGCCCGGGGCUGCUCUGCACGCCGUGUUAAGGCUCAGGAAGUUUUCUCUGUACAAAAGCAAGGUGGAGGCUGGCAGAGGGUGGGCAGUGCCCCAGGGGGCUGCCCCCAGCCCCGUGGGGAACCAGGGCAGUUCUGUGAUAGUGUGUGCAGAGCUCCAGUGACCUGGAGAGAUGCAAGAAAGACACCUCUGGUGAAUUCAACCAGAAAUGCGGCUCCGGUGCCAGCAUCCAUUCCCGUGUUCCCUGAUCUGUGAAGGAUGAACAAGGCCAAGGUAGUUACAAACCCCAGUACAAAGUAGGUCUUAAUUUUUAUUGUUAAAGAAUAAUACUGAGAGCAGGUGAAGGCAUUUCUGAGUCCCCAGGGGCAAGGUGCCCCAGUGGAUGUGCCAGCCCCAGGGUGGCAGCAGCUGAGGGUCCCGGGCAGGAGGAUUCUCCUCUCCACCUCCAAGACGUGGAUUUCCAACCCCUGUGCUGCCUUCAGCAAGGAACUUCCAAUAAAGCAUUUGCAAAGCUGAAAAGCACAGUUAAAUAAAAAUAUUUCUGAACAAAACAAACACAACAGACUCGACUGUCUCAGCGCUCCCUCGCUCCCCUGCCACGGCUGCUGUUCCUGGCUCACGGAUGCCUCCUGCACUUCAGCAACAGAAGUGAAACCAUCUGGGACUGCAGCCUCCCCCCAAAAGAACUGUGCAUCAUAUGGACCUUGAAAAAGAUUACAUCUGUUUAUUAAUAGUAAAAAUGGAUACAUUUGUCCUACAUUUUGUUUUUAGAAAUUUGAUCAUGUCACAAGCAAUACCUGCGUGUACGUGGGUGGAUUACAGAUGUAUAUAAUUUAUUUUAACCAGGCUGUGAAAUAAUAUGUAAUCACAUCUCUUCUUGUGAUUGUACAUAAUACAGUAAUUAAAUGAU